rnacentral:rRNA from 1 species
GACGAACGCUGGCGGCGUGCUUAACACAUGCAAGUCGAACGAUGAACUACCAGCUUGCUGGUGGGGAUUAGUGGCGAACGGGUGAGUAACACGUGAGUAACCUGCCCUGGACUCUGGGAUAACCCCGAGAAAGCGGAGCUACUACCGGAUAGGACCUUUCCCUGCAUGGGGAUUGGGGGAAAGUUUUUCGGUCUGGGAUGGACUCGCGGCCUAUCAGCUUGUUGGUGAGGUAAUGGCUCGCCAGGGCGUCGACGGGUGGCCGGCCUGAGAGGGUGCCCGGACACACUGGGACUGAGACACGUCCCAGACUCCUACGGGAGGCAGCAGUGGGGAAUAUUGCACAAUGGGCGCAAGCCUGAUGCAGCAACGCCGCGUGCGGGAUGACGGCCUUCGGGUUGUAAACCGCUUUUAGUAGGGAAGAAGGGCUUCGGCUUGACGGUACCUGCAGAAAAAGGACCGGCUAACUACGUGCCAGCCGCCGCUGUAAAAC